rnacentral:rRNA from 1 species
GACGAACGCUGGCGGCGUGCCUAACACAUGCAAGUCGAACGGGGGUAGCAAUACCUCAGUGGCGAACGGGUGCGUAACACGUGAAGAAUUUGUCUAACGGCGGGGGAUAGCCGGCCCAACGGCCGGGUAAUACCGCGUACGACCUCUGGAGGGCAUCCUCUGGUGGUGAAAGCCGCAAGGCGCCGAUAGAGAACUUCGCGGCCUAUCAGCUAGUUGGCGGGGUAAUGGCCCACCAAGGCGACGACGGGAGCUGGUCCGAGAGGAUGACCAGCCACAUUGGACUGAGACACGGCCCAGACUCCUACGGGAGGCAGCAGUGGGAAUAUUGCGCAAUGGGCGAAAGCCUGACGCAGCGACGCCGCGUGUGGGAUGACGGCCUCGG